GGCGGAGAAAGCACGUGGUCCUCCUGCAGUUUACUGUGUUAAAUUUGUCUGAAAAUGACAUGCUAGCAUCUAAGCCUUCCUGUUGAGAAAAAAAAAAAAACAGCUCCAGCAGAAGACAACAGAUUGGUGCUUCCCUUUUGCUCCAUCACACCUGGAGCCCUUUGGAGAAAAAUGACGGUCCAUCCUCCCCUUGGCAUCGGGCAUUCUGCUAGUAUUAAUGUACUCUGAAUUAUUCCUCAGUGCAGACUGCUGUUCUGUGGGAGACAGAAUACAAAGAGACAUUCGUAUAAGCAAUUCUCCUGGCAUUUAUAAAAGAAUGUGGACAUUGUGUGCCAACUACAGUGCUUAUUAGUAAUUGUUAUGGAGAAAUUGAAGUCACUGUAACUCAGAUUAAAAGGAGUCUACAUAUUUUUUUCUAAAUAUAAGUGACUAAGAAAC